CAUCUGACACCUUCUCUUUUCUACUAAAGCAGCUAUGAUACUGCCUUUAUCAUAUACUAAAUUUCAGUAUGCAGCUGGUUAUAUAUUUGUAUUUUUAUUUAUAUCUUUUUAGAGAAGAAUAAAUGGAUGGUUCAUUCUGGGUCUCUGCAUAAUAACUCUAUGUUGCCUUUAAACGUCUUAGCCUGUUAUGAAAUUCUUGGUUCACAGCUUUUCCCCACUUAGUCUCUACAGAUGUUAAGACUCUGGUGUUAGCAUUGCAGAGAAGUCUGGGGCUGGGCUGAUUUUUGGUACUUUGUACCAAAAAUGUACAUAACCGUUUUUUAUGCCUGAAAUCUUCUAGGAUUUUUUUUUGUCUUUAUAUUUAUAGUUUAAAAUUGCUCUUAGAUUUUUUCUAGGUGUAGUUUUCUUUUCAUUGAUUGUUUUUUAUCUGUAUUGCCCUAAUCUUUUUUCAGCUUUAGAAAGUUAUUUUUCAGUAUCUUUGGCUGUUUUUGCUUAAUUUUGUCUCAUCUCUCAGAAGCACCAGUUUCCCACAUGUUGACUUUCUAGUCUCUUGCUUCCAUUUCUGUUACUUUGGUCCUCCUUGUUUUCAUUCUUUCUUAUCCUUUUAGUUUGCUUAUUGGGAGAGCUUCUUCAGUUUGUCUGUCAUACCUCCAAUUUCAUUUUCCACAUUGUCAGUUCAGCAUCUGUUCUCUACACUUGUGAAUUUUAAUGAUUGCAUUUUUAGUUUCCUUACAAUUAUUCUUUGAUUAACCUUCGUAGAGUGGGCAUUAGAGACAACCCUGAAUUCAGACCACUACUCUGACAGUUAGAGCUGCUUGAACUUGGGCAAGUUAUUUUACUUCUUGAACUCUCAACUGCCUAUUUUAUAAUAGAGAUGUAAUAACACUUACCUUUUCUACCAGUUUUUAGGAGUAGAGAGAUAAUGUAUAUCCUGUGCUUGGCAUACCGUAGGUGCUCAAUAAACAAUAGCUAUUAUUAAGACUUUGUUCCACUAUCUUUUUAUCUGUUCCUGUUGCCUUUUUAUUUCAGCCUAUUAUUUCCUUAAAAAUUUCUGCUACCAUCUCUAAAGGUAAUAUCUUCUUGUAUAGUGUUUAAGGUAACAAAACAUUACUAAAAUUUUCUCCCAUAUCCUGAAUUAUGUCAUUUAUGGAGAAAGAAUCUUCUCUGGGUCAUACAGAAACAGUUUUCUUUCUUUUCUCAGUGGUAUUUUUUCAUAGGAUCCAUGUGGGUUUGUGUACCCUUUACUUAUGCCUUGAACAAGGUAAAAUGUGUUCUGACUUGAUGUUCUGAAGCAGACAGUAUGAGCCGUGCCUUAGCUUGGUUGCUGUUCACUGCCUGAGCCAGUGCAGGAGGAGUGGCUGAUCGCCAUGCACGGCUCUCAGCCCAUGUCUGAGCUGCAGCAGCUCUCCACUGGUGCCUCGUGCUCUAGUGAAGCAGUGUCACCUUUGUCCCACAGUUCCUGGUCCUCUCUAACACUGAAUUGAUGUAUACAUAGAUGAAAAGAAAAACCAUGGCUCCUAGAAGCCACUACUCUUGAGAUCCUGCCUGUCACCUUUCUACCUGACGCUUGAGGGGAUUUUACCUUUCAAUUGCCACUCACCACUGCUGGUCUCUCCCCAUUGCCCCCUUCCUCUAGCCACAAUUUUUGAAGGUGUUUUUCUAAAAAUUCCUUUCUAUGUGGAAAGAUGACAAAUGUAGAAAAUGAAGAAAAUAAUAUUCUGGCAGCUCUGCACAUCAGCAUCUUUGAUGUAAUGAGUUCAUCAACUUUCUGACUGGUAUAGGCUUUUUAGAAAAACAGCUUUAUUGAGAUAUAAUUCACAUACUAUACGACUCACCCGUUUAAAGUGUAUAAUUCAAUCGUUUUUGAUGUUGGUAUAGGCUUUUAAAAGGUACAUUCCUACUCCUUUUCAGGUAUUAUCUCUUUUUCUAGGUAAAGCUGGGGUAGAUUUUUUUUUUAGAUUUGCUCCAUCUGCCUUAUAGUAAAUGCAGAUUCUGAUUAAAGCAUCUGUUGUGUAAGAAUUCAUGAGUCCCAGCUGCUAAUAGAUAGAUUAAUUAAUAAAUAGAGGAGAUGGAAGGUCUCUUGCUUGCCAUGGAAGGCUGACUGGUAAAUAUGGAAGAGAAUGCUGGAGUUGGAAAGUCAUCAUUUUUCAACUUUUAUGGUAAAGGUAGGCUCAGGCAAGAAUCACCAAUAGAAGCAAACUCUUGGGAAAAUUUUGAUGAGGAGCAGUAUGCUUGUGUGAUCUAAAAAGUGUCUCUUCACAGAUUGCUUAUUAGUUAGAAAGAGAAAAAUAAACCCCAGUUUAUUUUAGUGGAGAAAAAUGUAGAAAUCAGGGAGCAACUAGACCAGUGGCCAAAAUUAAUGGCACCAAUGAGGGAGAGACAGACAUUGUGUGCCUCCAAUGUGAUAUCCCAAGAAGGACAUCACAUCAUCUAUGCAGUGUUCUAGCUGAGUAUUCUCAUUCUGAGAGUCAUGAACGUAUUAUCACUCUAAUCACAAGGAGAUGUCAGAUAAACACAAAAAUGAGGAGAAUUCUAUUUAAGGGGGUGGGCACUGUGUUCUUCAAAAAUGCCCAUGUCACAGAGCACAAAGAAAGGGUAUAGAAAUGUCCAGAUAUAGGGAGGCUAAAGAGAUAUGACAACUAAAUGCAAUACCAGACCAUAGAUUGGAUUCUGUACUGAAAGGGACAAAAUGCUAUAAAGGACAUUAUUAGAUUAAUUUACAAACCUAGACUAUAGGUGAUAGAUUAUAUAAAAGUAUUAUGCUAAUAUAAAUUUAUGAAAUUAGCAACUCUUCUGUGGUAACGUAAAAGAAUAUUCCUAUUCUUAGGAAAUACAUACUGUAGGGAUAAAGGGCCAUGAUGUACGUUACCCUCAUGGUUCAGCAAAAAGUUGCCCAGAGACAGAGAGAGAGAGAGAGAGAGAAGACAAAUGAUAGAGGAAAUGGCAUAAAAUGUUAGUAGUUAAUAAUCUGGAUACAGGGGUACCUUGUGCUAUUUUUAUUUUUGCUACUUCUUGUAAGUUUAAAAUGAUUUCCAAAUAAAAGUUUUGUAUAUUAUUUUUAAGAAAUUUCCUUAUAAGCUUGUGGUAUUUAGAAGUAACCACUUUGGAGUAAGGCCUUAUUCUGGAAAGUGGUUGUUGAAAUGCUGGUGUUCUUUCACUUGCUCAUAUUCAGUGUCAUUUGGCAUGACUGAACUUGGAGCAGGAGCAAGGACCAGGAUUCUACAGGAUAUAGAACAGGAACAAUCAGGUCAAUGGAGAAUCUUAGGUGCUGCUGAGAACUAUGAAUUUGGUGACAAUCAUUGAAAUUGUGCAGCAUUACAGCUUCUUUGAGGACAUACAAACAAAGCAG
ensembl:lncRNA